AAAAAAAAAAAAAAAAAAAAAAAAAAAUUAACCCCUUUUUUUUUCUUUUCAUUUUAAUUAACGAAUUUUUUUUUCUUUGUUAAUUUUUUCUUUAAUUCUAAACAUUCUUUCUGUCCAAUAUAAUAAUUUUUUUUCUUUAUAGUACUAUGUUAAGAAGUAAUAAAAAAAAAAGUGGAAAUGACAAAUUAGAUAAAGAAAACAAGUACAACAAUACACCAAAUGAUAAAUAAACAAAAAGAAACAAAAAAUAUAAAUAUAUUAGCAACAAAAGAGGAAAACAAAGCUAGCGAAAUAAAAGAGGGAGCUUUAUCAAUCGAUAGCGAAAAAUCUAAAAUAUUACUCAAAUGUGAGGAGUUACAAAAAAAUGAAUUAGAAGCCUUAAAAUUAAUUUAUGUGCGAGAUAAAGAGUUAGUUAUUAAAAAUGAAAAUAAUAAACAAGUUGAUACAGUAAUACAUAUGGAAUUAAAUGAUGAGAAUAUUAACGACAACAUUAUAAACAUAACUUUUGAAUUACCUAAUGAUUACCCUUUAAAAUCUUUUUUAAUAAUUAACGUAAAUGUAAAAAACUUUACAAAUGAUAUGAAUAAUUAUAUAAAUCAAGAAAUAUACAAAGAUAUGAAUCAAUAUUUAGAACAAGAGUGUAGUAUUUUAAGUAUUAUAUAUAAAAUAAACGAAUUAGUUGAAAAUAUUAUAAACGAUAAAGAACAAUUAGUAAAAGGUUAUCGUUCACUUUCUUCUUCUUCUUGUUCGUCCCAUUCAUCUCGUUUAUCUCAUUUGUCUUUCCAAACUUUCUCAUCAAAUAAAAAAAAAAUAAGUGAUGUAAAUGACAACCAAAUUAAAGACAUUGAAGUUAAUGAUAAAUACGAAUAUAAUGAAAAUAUAAAUAAUGAUAUUUCUGCUUUAUAUUAUAAUAACAAUAUGCAUUUUUCGCCAGUAAAAAAAAUAUUAGCUAGAAGGUUAUGUUAUUCUCACCAUAUUCUUAGUUAUGUAAAAAGAACAUACAUAAUUAAAUGGGCAAAAGAAUUAAAAAUUGGUGGAUAUUCAAAAAUAGGUUAUCCUGGAAUAAUUAUUUGUGAGGGUGGUAAAAAUGAAGUAGACUUUUAUGUUAACAGUUUAAAUAAAUUAAGAUGGAAACAUUUUGAUUGUAGAGGUAUGGAAGAUAUAGAGCUAAAUGAUUAUGAAGAUAUUGAUGAU
rnacentral:lncRNA from 1 species